GGCGUAGGGUGCAAGCGUUGUCCGGAUUUAUUGGGCGUAAAGAGCUCGUAGGCGGCUUGUUGCGUCGACUGUGAAAACCCGCGGCUUAACCGCGGGCUUGCAGUUGAUACGGGCAGGCUAGAGUUCGGUAGGGGAGACUGGAAUUCCUGGUGUAGCGGUGAAAUGCGCAGAUAUCAGGAGGAACACCGGUGGCGAAGGCGGGUCUCUGGGCCGAUACUGACGUGAGGAGCGAAAGCGUGGGGAGCGAACAGG
rnacentral:rRNA from 1 species